UCCGAUUCGUCACCGGCAGUCCCAUUAGAGUGCUCAACUAAAUGUAGCAACUAAUGGCAAGGGUUGCGCUCGUUGCGGGACUUAACCACUACAUCUCACGACACGAGCUGACGACAGCCAUGCAGCACCUGUGUUCGCGUUCCCUUGCGGGCACUCUCACAUCUCUGCAAGAUUCGCGACAUGUCAAGGGUAGGUAAGGUUUUUCGCGUUGCAUCGAAUUGAACCACAUCAUCCACCGCUUGUGCGGGUCCCCGUCAAUUCCUUUGAGUUUUAAUCUUGCGACCGUACUCCCCAGGCGGUCAACUUCACGCGUUAGCUGCGUUACUAAGAAAAUUCACUUUCCCAACAACUAGUUGACAUCGUUUAGGGCGUGGACUAC
rnacentral:misc_RNA from 1 species